GGAACCUGGAGAAAACCUUCAUAGUAAUCGUCCUCAGCACUAUCCAGGUAAGGGAAACCUUCUCAAAUAGAUCAUUGCUGUACUACUCCUCUCUGCCGGACUGUACUCCCUCGUCCUCACAGUCAACAAUCUGAGCAUAAAGUCGACUUCUGCCAUUAUAUCCAUCCUGGCAUAUCCCGGGGGCAUUUUUGUGGCUCUCCUUCUGAUUGGACUAGUCGUGAAUAGCAUUGGCUGUUUUGGAGUGCUCAGAGAAAACACAAAACUCAUCAGAAUUUUCUCAAAGUGUCUGAAAGUGUUGUUAUCUUUAAUUAUCCUCAUUUUCCUGUUCGUGUCUGUCUACGUCUCCAUUCCCCAAGUCUCCCAGUACUUCAAUCAACUCAACAUUGGCGGGAAAAUGUCCUUUAUUGUGGAGAAGUACCAGGAUGAUGCCAAUUUGAGGAACAUUAUCGACUCGAUUCAAUCCUUCGCUCACUGUUGUGGUCUCAACGACCCCGAAGACUGGGAUAAAAACAUAUAUUUUAGUCAACAACUCGACAAUCUGGCGAAAGAGCGUGGAGGAGUGCCCUUUUCGUGUUGUACUGUCGACAAACAGGACUUGGAGUGUGGGAAUGGAGUCAGGGUAUUAUUGGGGUGACUGAGGCAGAUGAACGGGGAAAUUUCCAAGUACUAUCACGUGGGGUGUCUGACUAAGUUUAAACAACUGUUUAUGAAGUAUCGGUGGUAUAUUAUUGGCAUUCUUGGGGGAUAUAUAUUCAUAUUGGUACUUUUUUAAUCAUUUUUAGCUUUCCUUUAUGUUGCUUGUUAGUCAUACCAAGAAUACCGUCUGGCUAAACAACCGGCGACGGGGAGUUGUUUAAUUUUAUUUUUUA